rnacentral:rRNA from 1 species
GACGAACGCUGGCGGCGUGCUUAACACAUGCAAGUCGAACGGAAAGGCCCCUUUGGGGGUACUCGAUUGGCGAACGGGUGAGUAACACGUGAGUAACCUGCCCUUGCCUUCGGGAUAACUUCAGGAAACUGGGGCUAAUACCGGAUAGGAAUCCUUGCUGCAUGGUGGGGGUUGGAAAGCUUCGGCGGUCUUGGAUGGACUGGCGGCUUAUCGGCUUGUUGGUGGGGUAGUGGCUUACCAAGGCUUUGGUGGGUAGCCGGCCUGAGAGGGCGACCGGCCACAUUGGGACUGAGAUACGGCCCAGAUGCCUAAGGGAGGGAGAAGGGGGGAAUAUUGCACAAUGGGCGGGAGCCUGAUGCAGCAACGCCGCGUGCGGGAUGACGGCCUUCGGGUUGUAAACCGCUUUCAGCAGGGGCGAAGCUUGUGGUGACGGUACCUGCAGAAGAAGCACCGGCUAACUACGUG